GACGAACGCUGGCGGCGUGCUUAACACAUGCAAGUCGAACGGAAAGGCCCUGCUUUUGUGGGGUGCUCGAGUGGCGAACGGGUGAGUAACACGUGAGUAACCUGCCCUUGACUUUGGGAUAACUUCAGGAAACUGGGGCUAAUACCGGAUAGGAGCUCCUGCUGCAUGGUGGGGGCUGGAAAGUUUCGGCGGUUGGGGAUGGACUCGCGGCUUAUCAGCUUGUUGGUGGGGUAGUGGCUUACCAAGGCUUUGACGGGUAGCCGGCCUGAGAGGGUGACCGGCCACAUUGGGACUGAGAUACGGCCCAGACUCCUACGGGAGGCAGCAGUGGGGAAUAUUGCACAAUGGGCGGAAGCCUGAUGCAGCAACGCCGCGUGCGGGAUGACGGCCUUCGGGUUGUAAACCGCUUUCGCCUGUGACGAAGCGUGAGUGACGGUAAUGGGUAAAGAAGCACCGGCUAACUACG
rnacentral:rRNA from 1 species